rnacentral:tmRNA from 1 species
CGCAAACGACGAAAACUACGCUUUAGCAGCUUAAUAACCUGCUCUGAGCCCUCUCUCCCUAGCUUCCGCUCUUAAGACGGGGAUCAAAGAGAGGUCAAACCCAAAAGAGAUCGCGUGGAAGCCCUGCCUGGGGUUGAAGCGUUAAAACUAAUCAGGCUAGUUCGUUAGUGGCGUGUCUGUCCGCAGCUGGCGUGCGAAUGUAAAGACAAACUAAGCAUGUAGUACCGAGGAUGUAGAAAUUUCGGACGCGGGUUCAACUCCCGCCAGCUCCACCA